rnacentral:rRNA from 1 species
AGAAUCAACGCUGGCGGCGUGCCUCAGACAUGCAAGUCGAACGCGAAAGUCCCCUUCGGGGGACAAGUAGAGUGGCGCACGGGUGAGUAACACGUAGGUAAUCUACCUUUGGAUGGGGAAUAACAACCGGAAACGGUUGCUAAUACCGCAUAAUGCAGCGGCACCUAAUGGUGACAGUUGUUAAAGCGGGGGAUCGAAAGACCUCGCGCCUGAAGAGGAGCCUGCGGCGGAUUAGCUAGUUGGUAAGGUAAUGGCUUACCAAGGCUACGAUCC